UAUNNNNNNUUNUUGUUGGCGGUAUCUUAUCCUUAUAGAGGAACUUGACCUAUGAUCGAUAUACCACGUUUAAUCUUACUUGUAUUAAUGUUUGUAUACCGUUGUUGUCAGAUUACCUUGUAUAGCUCCUAAGUUUUCUUAAUAAGUGUAUUUAUNUACUAUAUANNUAGGUACACUUUUUACUUCAAAUCAAGGUGCAGUUUAUGUACAAGUUGAGUUGAGUUACUUUGGGUCAGAAGUAGAUGGUAGAAUGAAAUUUUACUUGAAAGAGGAUUUAUUAGUAAGCUUCUAUUAAUUAGAUUAGCUGAAUGGGGGUCUGAGAUAUGUACAAAUCGCCCGUCACUCUGGUUUUAAUAUCAGAUAAGUCGNAACAAAGUAGGGNNAAGGNANCUNGNNCCUNGACAU
rnacentral:rRNA from 1 species